rfam:Picea glauca, whole genome shotgun sequence.
AUGUACAUUCCUAUAGCAUAGCGUUAAUGCACUGAAUCCCAUUAGAACUUCGUAGUUAAGUGUGCUCAGGCUAGAGUAGUACUAGGAUGGGUAAUCGCCCAGGAAGUCCUAGUGUUUUACAUG